AUGAACGCUGGCGGCGUGCCUCAUCCCUGCAAGUCGAGCGAACGGACGAGAAGCUUGCUUCUCUGAUGUUAGCGGCGGACGGGUGAGUAACACGUGGAUAACCUACCUAUAAGACUGGGAUAACUUCGGGAAACCGGAGCUAAUACCGGAUAAUAUUUUGAACCGCAUGGUUCAAAAGUGAAAGACGGUCUUGCUGUCACUUAUAGAUGGAUCCGCGCUGCAUUAGCUAGUUGGUAAGGUAACGGCUUACCAAGGCAACGAUGCAUAGCCGACCUGAGAGGGUGAUCGGCCACACUGGAACUGAGACACGGUCCAGACUCCUACGGGAGGCAGCAGUAGGGAAUCUUCCGCAAUGGGCGAAAGCCUGACGGAGCAACGCCGCGUGAGUGAUGAAGGUCUUCGGAUCGUAAAACUCUGUUAUUAGGGAAGAACAUAUGUGUAAGUAACUGUGCACAUCUUGACGGUACCUAAUCAGAAAGCCACGGCUAACUACGUG
rnacentral:rRNA from 1 species